GGGUCGUUAGCUCAGUUGGUAGAGCAGUUGGCUUUUAACCAAUUGGCCAUAGGUUCGAAUCCUAUACGACCCACCA
rnacentral:tRNA from 1 species